GACGAACGCUGGCGGCGUGCUUAACACAUGCAAGUCGAACGGAAAGACCCUGCUUUUGUGGGGUGCUCGAGUGGCGAACGGGUGAGUAACACGUGAGUAACCUGCCCUUGACUUUGGGAUAACUUCAGGAAACUGGGGCUAAUACCGGAUAGGAGCUCCUGCUGCAUGGUGGGGGUUGGAAAGUUUCGGCGGUUGGGGAUGGACUCGCGGCUUAUCAGCUUGUUGGUGGGGUAGUGGCUUACCAAGGCUUUGACGGGUAGCCGGCCUGAGAGGGUGACCGGCCACAUUGGGACUGGGAUACGGCCCAGACUCCUACGGGAGGCAACAGUGGGGAAUAUUGCACAAUGGGCGGAAGCCUGAUGCAGCAACGCCGCGUGCGGGAUGACGGCCUUCGGGUUGUAAACCGCUUUCGCCUGUGACGAAGCGUGAGUGACGGUAAUGGGUAAAGAAGCACCGGCUAACUACGUG
rnacentral:rRNA from 1 species